CUUCUUAUCUAUACGAAAUCCUUCCUUAAUUCUUAUCUUAAAUUGGCAGAUCUUGAACGCUGUCAAGGAUGGACAUUUAUAUUGGACCACGGCUCACGUGCUUGCAUGCCUUGGUGUUGUUGGCGGGACUAGCAAUGGUUUAUGGUGAACAACCUAUUUGCGGCGACCAUGGGCACUACGUGGAGGACAGGAAACGGGAUGCUGUGUGCCAGUGUCACCAGGGCUGGUCUGGACAGUUUUGUGACCAUGAAAUAUGCGGCCAUGGCGGAACCUAUGUCCAUAUUUCCGAUGGCCAUCAUCAUUGUGUCUGCAGUUAUCCUUGGACUGGUUCCCAUUGUCAAGAUCAAGAAAGUACGACGCCUGAUCCAGCUUCCCUUUGCAGUUUUCACGGAAUAUAUUUUGAAAGUUAUUGCAUAUGCGAUCCGAACUGGACCGGGCCAACAUGUGCAG